UAGAAUUUCUUUUUCUUUGGUAUCUUCAGAAGAAUAGCAGAUUCAUGAGAAACACCAUUCCUCUUCUUCGUUCUUCUCAAUUAUCUUGACGCCUCGAAACCAAAAUAAAGCAGAAGAAUUGGUAUUUUUCCCCUCUCGCCAAUCAUCCAUUGUUGGUCCAUUCGGAACCAAAAUAAACCAAAAUAAAGCAGAUUAAAUCGGGGAUAAGAAAGAUGGUUCAUUCGGAAGCAAACACCAAAUCGGUAGAAUAGAAGGAAACGAACAACCCUAGAUUUCAAUUGAAGGAUAUUCAUCGAUCUCUUUUCAAUUAUCAGUUCACAUUGGGACUUUUUUAAGGUUGAUUAGUUAAUUUUUUUUGUUCCAUCUCAUUUUGAUGGAGAAGAAACUAAUUGGGUUCUGACCCAUUAGUGUAAGAUAAUGGAGGAUACAAGUGGGUUUAGAUCUGGGGUGUUUAUCGGGAAAUUGUAGAUAAAAUGAUGUUGGAGCAAGACUAUGAAGAAUAAGAAGAAUUUUGUAGCUUUUGUGAUGAGGAAGAAGAAGAGUGGACAAUAUAGGAGGAGAAGGAACAAAAAUCUAUGAUAUUAGGUAAGGAGGGGAUGUAAGAAUCAUGAAAAUGUUCUUGAAAGGUAUAUCUAUCCCUGAGGCAUGUGAUUUGGGUUCUGGGUAUUCAGCAAUAAAAUUUAUUUUUAUGUAGAGGAGCAAGUUGCUCACUACUUUCCUUUGAUUGAUGGUCUGGUGGAGGCAUUGGCACAACAAGAUUCGUCAUGUUGUUGCUUUUGCAGAUUCUGAGAUCGUUUAUGAUCAAGUUGUUUGAUGGACGCGGUCAAAUGCUGGAAAAGAUACUAUUUUUCUUGCAAAUGCUUCUUUAUUAAAGUAAACUGGAAAAUGAAUGUUAUUUGCUGUGAUUGGUGCUUUAAAGUUGGGCAUCUCAAAAAGACAUAUUGUCAAUCGGGAUCUACAAAAUGAGCUUCUUGGGGAGUCAGAAGGCUUGAUCUAUUCCAGAAAAUCAAUCGAGGACGGUGAUGUUGAGUAACCGGGGUUCUCGAUUAGAGCUGUGAGUUUUUGCACAAUAACAAGUAUAUGAUCUCAAUUUUAGUCAUAUUUGCUGUGCAUUUUUUAUAUCGGAACCAAACAAUUUUGAUGUGGUGGGUUAUAUUGUUGCUCAACAUGUGAGUUUGACAAAUUUUUCUGUACAAGGAAGUUUUCAUGUCCUGGAAAGUAUACUGUAUAAAGUGCAUCAGAGAUACAUUUUGUAUAAAUGGAUGUUUUAGACUAAAAAAAUUAUUGAGUAAA